CCUACGGGAGGCUGCAGUGAGGAAUAUUGGUCAAUGGACGCAAGUCUGAACCAGCCAUGCCGCGUGCAGGAAGACGGCUCUAUGAGUUGUAAACUGCUUUUGUCAGGGAGCAAAGUCACCCACGUGUGGGUGUUGGAGAGUACCUGAAGAAAAAGCAUCGGCUAACUCCGUGCCAGCAGCCGCGGUAAUACGGAGGAUGCGAGCGUUAUCCGGAUUUAUUGGGAUUAAAGGGUGCGUAGGCGGGUUAUCAAGUCAGCGGUAAACUCGUGGAGCUCAACUCCAUCCAGCCGUUGAAACUGAUGAUCUUGAGUGGGCGAGAAGUAUGCGGAAUGCGUGGUGUAGCGGUGAAAUGCAUAGAUAUCACGCAGAACUCCGAUUGCGAAGGCAGCAUACCGGCGCCCGACUGACGCUGAAGCACGAAAGCGUGGGUAUCGAACAGGAUUAGAUACCCUUGUAGUC
rnacentral:rRNA from 1 species